UUCCCAGACUCCUACGGGAGGCAGCAGUGGGGGAUAUUGCACAAUGGGGGGAACCCUGAUGCAGCGACGCCGCGUGGGUGAAGGAGCGUUUCGGCGCGUAAAGCCCUAUCGGCAGGGAAGAAGGAGGACGGUACCUGACUAAGAAGCCCCGGCUAACUACGUGCCAGCAGCCGCGGUAAUACGUAGGUGGCAAGCGUUGUCCGGAUUUACUGGGUGUAAAGGGCGUGCAGCCGGAGAGACAAGUCAGAUGUGAAAUCCACGGGCUCAACCCGUGAACUGCAUUUGAAACUGUUUCCCUUGAGUGUCGGAGAGGUAAUCGGAAUUCCUUGUGUAGCGGUGAAAUGCGUAGAUAUAAGGAAGAACACCAGUGGCGAAGGCGGGUUACUGGACGAUAACUGACGGUGAGGCGCGAAAGCGUGGGGAGCAAACAGGAUUAGAUACCCCAGUA
rnacentral:rRNA from 1 species